rnacentral:tRNA from 1 species
GGGCGUGUGGUCUAGUGGCUAUGACGUCGCAUUCACAUUGCGAAGGUCGCCAGUUCGAAUCUGGCCAUGCCCA